rnacentral:rRNA from 1 species
UGGCAGACGGCUGAGUAAUACAUGGGAAUCUACCUCAAACUCGAGAAUAGCCCAUCGAAAGGUGGUGUAAUACUCGAUAGUUCCGUUUACGGUAAAGCUCCGGCGGUUUGAGAUGAGCCCAUGUCCUAUCAGGUUGUUGGUGGGGUAAUUGCCUACCAAGCCUAUGACGGGUAGCUGGUUUGAGAGGAUGAUCAGCCAGACUGGGGCUGCGAUACGGCCCAGAACUCCUACGGGAGGCAGCAACUAGGAAUCAUGCGCAAUGGACGAAAGUCUGACGCUGCGACGUCGCGUGAGGGAUGAAGGUCUUCGGAUCAUAAACCUCUUUUAUCUGGGAACAAGUUCUGAGUGUACCAGAUGAAUAAGUGCCUGCCAACCACGUGCCAGAAGCAUCGGUAAUGCGUGGGGCACGAGUGUUAUCCGGAUUUACUGGGCGUAAAGAGAUGCGUAGGCGCCUUUUUAAGUCACUUGUAAAAUCUCCCCGCUCAACGGGGAAACUGCAAGUGAUACUGAAUUGGUUGAGUCAAGUAGAGGAGAGGGGAAUUCCUGGUGGAGCGGUUAAAUGCGUUGAUAUCAGGAGGAAUACCAAGUGCGAAGGCACCUCUCUGGACUUGUACUGACGCUAAGGCUCGAAAGUGUGGGGAGCACAACGGAUUAGAUACCCGUGUAGUCCACACUGUUAACGAUCCCUGCUAGAUGUUUG